UAACUAAUGGAGCUAGAACUGAUGUUUUGUCUCAAGAUGGUGAAACUCUACUGCAUUAUGCUGGUAAAUCUGGUCAAGUUGAAAUGCUUGAGUUUUGGAUUAGGAGAGAGGAUCAUGAUGUGAAUGCUUUUGAUAAAAACAACAGAACUCCAUUGUUUGAUGCUGUUGAGAGUGAUAGUGUUGAAGCUGUUGAUAUUCUAUUAUUUCAUGGAGCUAGAACUAAUGUUGCA